AGGUAGUAAUAAAAUAUUAUUUAAACCUAUUUAAUUUGGCGGCAUUUAAUCAAUUUAGAGGAAUUUGUUUAAUAAUCGAUAAUCCACGAUAUUUAUAACUCCAGUUAAAAAUUUAUAUACCGCCAUCUAAAGAAAUAAUCUUAUUAUAUUAUUCUUAAAAAUCCUAAAAAGUUAGGUCAAGGUGUAAUCUAUACAGAAGGUUAAAAUGAAUUACACUAAACAUUAUUUAAGAAUUAAAAAAUAAAAUGUUUACAGAAAGAGGAUUUAAUAGUAAAUUUAAAAAUAAUAAUUUAAAUUAAAUUAGAUAAAAAAUGUGC
rnacentral:rRNA from 1 species